rnacentral:rRNA from 1 species
GCAUAUUAGUAAGCGGAGGAAAAGAAGUUAACGAAGAUUUCCCCAGUAACGGCGAGUGAAAAGGAAUUUUAUUUUAAAGCUCAUCGCUGAAUCCGUUCGGACGCUCAACGUUCGACGGAACUGUAGCGUACAGGAGAGCCCGUUAUUAUCGCGCGUACAAUCAAAAAAACGCCUCGGAAGCUCCCUCGAACGGGACCCCGUAGCGGGUGCCAGGCCCGUACCGAAGCUGCGCGCGGUAGUUCACGGAGCCUCUACAGAGUCGGGUUGCUUGAGAGUGCAGCCCGAAGCAGGAGGUAAACCCCUUCUAAAGCUAAAUACUACCACGAGACCGAUAGCGAACAAGUACCGCGAGGGAAAGUUGAAAAGAACUUUGAAGAGAGAGUUCAACAGGGCGUGAAACCGCUUAGAAGAAAACGGACGAUACCGCUUGUUUUUUACGAAAAUCAGUCGCACGCUUGUUCCGUCCUCCGAACAGAUCGGUGCGACCUAGUCGUCCGAACGACUCGGAUUCAGAUCGGGCUCGUGCGGCGCAUUUUUCGUAAUUGCGAACACCGCGAUCGGUUUACUUCGCUCGUUAAUGAACGGCGACGAAUUGAGGGCGCUGUCCGUGAGGAUACGCGUAACCGAUCGUCCCGAUUAACGACGAGACGAAUAGACUGUAUAAUCAAAUUUCACGGACGUCGGCCGUAAAAGCUCGCCCGUUCUAGUAGAGAGUCGGUCGUAGGCGAGUCACUCUGCUCGCAGAUCUCGCGCCUACCCAGGCUGACUGCUUCUAUUAUGCGGCGACGAUUCGACGCUUCCGGAUUCGGCGGUGCUUUUAUUAAGUCGGUCGCUCGUCCGACCCGUCUUGAAACACGGACCAAGGAGUCUAACAUAUGCGCGAGUCAAUGAGUAUUUUAAUACUCUAAUAGACGUAAUAAAAGUAAAAUUCGAUAUUAAAAUCGAACGAGGUAGGAUUUCGGAAUUUUAGUUAAUAGCUUAUUCCGAACACACUACCGUCCCGUCCAUCGUCGCUUCGUCGGCGGGGCGGAGACUGAGCGUAUACGUUGGGACCCGAAAGAUGGUGAACUAUGCCUGAGCAGGGCGAAGCCAGAGGAAACUCUGGUGGAGGUUCGUAGCGGUUCUGACGUGCAAAUCGAUCGUCAGACUCGGGUAU